CGGAGUAAAGCUUAAAGGUAGCAACUCAUUUACACUGAGGAGAAAUUAGUGCAAGUCUAAUUAUUCUGA
rnacentral:tRNA from 1 species